rnacentral:rRNA from 1 species
CAAAAAUUUAAAAAAAAUCAAAAAAUAAAAUGAAAUCAUGUCCACCACACACAUUGCGCUCACUCCACAGAGAAAAUCUAUGC